GGCUUCAGCAAUACAUGAACCUAGAACUUCCAGAUGUACAAGCUGGAUUUAGAAAUAGGAGAGGAACCAAAUAUCAUAUUGUCAACAUCCAUCGGAUCAUAAAAAAAACAAUGGGAUUCCAGAAAUACAUCUAAUUCUGCUUCAUUGACUAUGUUAAAGUCUUUGACUGUAUGGAUAGAAAAACAAACUGUGGAGAAUUCUUAAAGAGGUGGGAAUACCAGAUCCC